rnacentral:lncRNA from 1 species
CUCUUCCGGCGUCGCCCAGGAGAUCAGGGGUGUGGCGGGGCCUGCGCGAUCAAUCCGCAGGCGCCGUGUGAUGGAGAAUGGGAAGGCAGUUCCCGGCCCAAGUCACCAACCUGUUCUGGCCAGUUUAAACCCCACUGCGAACUGGGAAAGUGGCCUUAUUCCUGUGACACGGGUGAGAGCUGAAGUAGGUAUCGGUCCCUGGCCGCCAGGAGGCGCAGGCGAGCUACCCCUACUCCAGGCCCGCCCGCUGUGGGUGGGAUUGGGGAGCGGACUCCAUCUCGGCCUUGGCACCUUCUACUACAACGCAGACAGGAACAGACAACUGCCUCACCCUGCUCUGGGCCUCUCCUGAGCUAGACUCUGUGAGAUUCUGGGACGUUGCAAGUCGAUCUGUUAUGGGGAACAGAAUUCUGAAAAUGGCCACCUCCAAGAUUCCGUGCCUAAAUCUCCAGAACCUGUAAAUAUGAUAAUCUCACCUAUGAAUAGUUACACUACAUGGUGAAAGGGUUUUUGCAGACAUAACUAAGGUUACUCAUUAGCUGAUCUUAAAAUAGAAUAUGAUUCUGGAUUAUUUUGGUAGGUCCAAGGUAAUCAUAAGGGUCCUUAAAGGCAGAAGAGGAAGGUGGAGAAACUUGAAGUAGGAGAAGAGUUUUGUCCAUGAGAGGGACAAGUGUCAGGCUGAGAAUCUGAGAAGAGCUGCAACAACAGCCAGUAAGAAGACAGACCUCAUGGCCGGAGGCAGUGGCUCAGGCCUGUAAUCCCAGGACUUUGGGAGGCCAAGGAGGGCAGAUCACGAGGUCAGGAGAUCCAUACCAUCCUGGCUAACACGGUGAAACCCCGUCUCUACUAAAAAUACAAAAAAUUCGCCGGGCGUGGUGGCGGGCGCCUGUAGUCCCAGCUACUUAGGAGGCUGAGGCAGGAGAACGGCAUGAACCCAGGAGGCGGAGCUUGCAGUGAGCCAAGAUCGUGCCACUGCACUCCAGCCUGGGCGACAGAAGGAGACUCGUCUCAAAAAAAGAAAGAAAGAAAAGAAAACGGACUUCAGCCCUAGAAGUGCAUGGAGCUAGAUUCUGCCCACAACCUGAAUGAGCUUGGAAUCAAAUUCUUCCCCAGAGCCUCCAGACAGCAACUCAGUCCAUACCACACCUUGAUUUCAGCCUUUAUGAGACCCACAGAAGACCUACUUGGGCUUCUGACCUAUGGAAUGGUGAGCUAAUAAAUGGAUAUUGUUUUGACC